rnacentral:misc_RNA from 1 species
CAUAUUUAUGAAAUAUGUUGUGCAAUGUGGUGAUGGAAAUCCUUGUUUUCUGGAAUCAUUUUGUUGUUUUUGGAAAUUGUUAUCAGUAUUUGGUCCAAAGUUGGUUAGACAAUCUAUUAAGAUUGAUCAUGAAAUAGGUCAAAGCUACGCAUAAUAGUUUUGCCCUGACAGUCAAUUUUGGUUCCCCUUUGAAUAAUUGUAAUAUUUAAAAUUUGAUAUUUUCUUUGUAUUUUCGAAGCGAGAUAUAAAUAAAAGUUGUUUAGUCAAGAUAUUGUGUAAGAUGUCAGCAACUUUCUGCUACAUGCUAAAUGUAAAUGAAAAAUGUUAAUUUACAUUUGAAUUUUACAGUCAAAAGUCUUUGUCAGUUCAGAUUAGAAGAACCUGAAACUUUACCUUUGUUAUAUAUAUGAAUAUUAAAUUGGUUACAAAUUUCAGAGGAAAGGUGUGUAUAUUUAAUCCUGAUGUAUGUGUGGGGUAAAUUUUUCCAAGAAAAUGAAUGUACAGUAGUGUACUGGAACUCGCAUAUAUUUUGUUCUGUUGGGAAUAAUUUUUAUAGAUGGUAUUGUUUUUAUAAAACUUUAUUUUAUUUUAAUUUAAAGCCUUGAAAGUACUGAAUCCCUUAGAGGCAAGCGCUUAGUGGCCCAUGGCCUCUCUUUGUUACACCAUUAGAAAAAAAAUGGUAAUUGAUAAUUACAAAGCUUGUGUCUACAUUGUAACAGUAAUGUGGUAUGGAAUCCUCGAAGUCUGCGUCGAAGAUUCAAAGUGGACAGAUAGAGAUCUUGCUGGAAGGGCAUUUAUGGGUCAAAAUGCGUUUUUUCUAUGAAAUAGAAUGCAUUUUUGUUUUGAUUUCAGGUCAUGUGCUAUGGCAGACACACAGUAGCCAAGUGUCUCAUUGUUCAAUAACCCUAUACCAUAUCACUGCUUAGUUUGUGACAAGUGCGUGCAGGACAUUUCUGUAAUUAAAGGUGAAAUAAAUAAUAUUCUGAAAUACG